CCGGAUGGUAUUAAGGGUGAUCAGAUUAGGGCGCAGGUGGAGAAUGGCGUGGUUACUAUUAUUGCUCCCAAGGAGGUGGUUCCGGCAAAGCUUAAGCCCCGUGCCAUCCCGAUCUCCAGCAAGCUCUGAUCAAAUGAGGUGGUUCUCGGUUGCAGCUCGACCACAAUGAGGUAUUUAUUUUUCUGCAGCCCCUCUCUCACGCAGUCCAUUAGAAGCUAGCUUGCUGCCUUCCCUUCGUCUCACCUUCAGCAGACCACCAACCCUUCUCCGCACCUUCCCAUAGUCUGCUAGCUUGCUUUUCCCCUCCGGCUCACCUUCAACAUCCAUACAGUCGACCCCUACUCCUUUCACCAUUCGUCUACUUGUUGCUCCUCCUUCCCUACAGUCAAAUCUAUUGUCCCUUCCCUUGUUUCCCUACCAUCGACCCUAGCCCUGCUGUCGCCAACACCCCCACUCGCUACCGUUACCCUUAUUGGAGUCUAUGUGUCGUGUCUUUAUGCUUGUAUUGUUGUGAUUUCUUGUCGCAAGUCUCGUAUGUAUCAUUUUGAAUUCAGUAUUAAUAAGUUUGAAUCUUUUUCCUC